AACGUAGGUUCCGAGCGUUAUCCGGAUUUACUGGGCGUAAAGCGCGUUCAGGCGGUUUGGCAAGUCGGGCAUGAAAUCUCUCGGCUCAACCGGGAGAGGUUGUCCGAUACUGCUGGACUUGAGGGUAGUAGAGGGUGGUGGAAUUCCGGGUGUAGUGGUGAAAUGCGUAGAUAUCCGGAGGAACACCAGUGGCGAAAGCGGCCACCUGGACUGUACCUGACGCUAACACGCGAAAGCUAGGGGAGCGAACGGG
rnacentral:rRNA from 1 species